rnacentral:tRNA from 1 species
GCGGGAGUGCCGGAGUGGCCAAACGGGCUAGCUUCAGAGGCUAGUAGCUUAGUGCUUACACAGGUUCAAAUCCUGUCUCCCGCA